rnacentral:rRNA from 1 species
UACCAGCACCCCGAGUGGUCGGGACGUUUAUUGGGCCUAAAGCAUCCGUAGCCGGUUCUACAAAUCUUCCGUUAAAUCCAACUGCUUAACAGAUGGGCUGCGGAAGAUACUAUAGAGCUAGGAGGCGGGAGAGGCAAGCGGUACUCGAUGGGUAGGGGUAAAAUCCGUUGAUCCAUUGAAGACCACCAGUGGCGAAGGCGGCUUGCCAGAACGCGCUCGACGGUGAGGGAUGAAAGCUGGGGGAGCAAACCGGG